CACAUACUUAGUUUUUAUUUGCACCCUUCCCCUGACUAGUGAGUGAGAAAGGUUGUGCGUGCGUGUGUGUGUGUGUGUGUGUGUGUAUUUUCCUUUGUGGCUACAUUUUUGGUUUGCUUCCACUUAUUUCAUGCUUGCUGCCUAGAAGAAAUGGAUGGAUGGGUUUUGAUCAGGGGAAAGGCAGUUUGCCCAUUAUCUGCCCAUGAAGGGCUUACCAGUGGGUAGGCCACCCAGGAGCUCAGCUUGUCUUGUCAACAUACCGAUGUAGCAAAAUCGAUGUGUUUGGAGCUGGAAUUAUUUUUCACAGUCUUGUUUGGGCCAGGUCUUGGUCUAUGCUAUGCCUUAUAUAAUGUACAUCAUGAACCUUCACUGGAAAAGAAGCCUGGCACUGGAGGAGUGGCACCUCUGCCCAAACAAGCGAGGAAGCAGACUCUCACUGGAGGAUCAGUGCCAGCCUGGGUACGAGUGACAGCUCUGAACUAGAGGAGCAGCACCCUUCCUCCAUGUGAGUGGACAAACUGCAGCUGGAGGAGUGAGGCCCCGGCUCCAGAGGAGCACGGGAGAGAGGAGCAGGGGCAAGGAAUAACCAACCAUCACCAUCCUGGACAAGGACAACACCUGGGCAGAAACAGGAGCAACCAGACCCUAUGACUGAGGACAAAAACAAAUUCAAAACAGCUGGAAGAGAGACACAUGAGAUUGCAAGAUUGUAUUUCUUGAUUACUUCAAGACAUUCUACAAGAAAAAUGGCAGAUCUGGAAUUCCUGGGGCCACAUUCCAGGGACUGGACACCGGCUGCUUCCUGAGGAUGCGGGUGGAGGAGCUUCUGACUUCACAGCCCCUGCAGGCCCUGAUGUCCAGUUCUACCCACAGACAGGACAGGACUGUUGUAGCCUUCAUGCCUGGUCUAAGCAGCCUCUCAGGAACCCCCUGAGCCCUGGAGUCCACACAACUCCAAAGCAGCUCAGUUAGGGGAGAGUCAGGGACCCCCAAAUGCUAAGUACCCAGACAUUCUUCAGACCUCUACAUAAUUCAGGCUUAAAAAUGACCUAGGUUGAGUCUGCUGUCAUGUUUUUGGGAUGAAGAUGAAAAGAGAAGUGAAAGUGUCUAAAGAGAAGAGCUCUUCCAUUUCUUGCACUGCUGAACUUGUGAAGAUUCCUAUCCUGUUCAUAAGUAGGAGACCAAGAAGUGGAGAGAGAGGAGAGAGGAAGUAAAAAGAAUCAAGCUGUGUUCUGUACAUCUACCAACUACCCAUG
rnacentral:lncRNA from 1 species